rnacentral:rRNA from 1 species
UACAGAGGGUGCGAGCGUUGUUCGGAAUCACUGGGCGUAAAGCGCACGUAGGCGGAUUGUUAAGUCAGGGGUGAAAUCCUGGAGCUCAACUCCAGAACUGCCUUUGAUACUGGCGAUCUUGAGUCCGGGAGAGGUGAGUGGAACUGCGAGUGUAGAGGUGAAAUUCGUAGAUAUUCGCAAGAACACCAGUGGCGAAGGCGGCUCACUGGCCCGGUACUGACGCUGAGGUGCGAAGCGUGGGAGCAACAGG